rnacentral:rRNA from 1 species
GACUGACCGAUAGUGAACCAGUACCGUGAGGGAAAGGCGAAAAGAACCCCGGCGAGGGGAGUGAAAAAGAACCUGAAACCGUGUACGUACAAGCAGUGGGAGCCUCUUUAUGGGGUGACUGCGUACCUUUUGUAUAAUGGGUCAGCGACUUAUAUUCUGUAGCAAGGUUAACCGUAUAGGGGAGCCGAAGGGAAACCGAGUCUUAACUGGGCGUUAAGUUGCAGGGUAUAGACCCGAAACCCGGUGAUCUAGCCAUGGGCAGGUUGAAGGUUGGGUAACACUAACUGGAGGACCGAACCGACUAAUGUUGAAAAAUUAGCGGAUGACCUGUGGCUGGGGGUGAAAGGCCAAUCAAACCGGGAGAUAGCUGGUUCUCCCCGAAAGCUAUUUAGGUAGCGCCUCGUGAACUCAUCUUCGGGGGUAGAGCACUGUUUCGGCUAGGGGGCCAUCCCGGCUUACCAACCCGAUGCAAACUACGAAUACCGAAGAAUGUUAUCACGGGAGACACACGGCGGGUGCUAACGUCCGUCGUGAAGAGGGAAACAACCCAGACCGCCAGCUAAGGUCCCAAAGUCAUGGUUAAGUGGGAAACGAUGUGGGAAGGCACAGACAGCCAGGAUGUUGGCUUAGAAGCAGCCAUCAUUUAAAGAAAGCGUAAUAGCUCACUGGUCGAGUCGGCCUGCGCGGAAGAUGUAACGGGGCUAAACCAUGCACCGAAGCUGCGUUCUGUAAGCCGUUGAAGGUGUGCUGUGAGGCAUGCUGGAGGUAUCAGAAGUGCGAAUGCUGACAUAAGUAACGAUAAAGCGGGUGAAAAGCCCGCUCGCCGGAAGACCAAGGGUUCCUGUCCAACGUUAAUCGGGGCAGGGUGAGUCGACCCCUAAGGCGAGGCCGAAAGGCGUAGUCGAUGGGAAACAGGUUAAUAUUCCUGUACUUGGUGUUACUGCGAAGGGGGGACGGAGAAGGCUAUGUCAGCCGGGCGACGGUUGUCCCGGUUUAAGCAUGUUGUUACUGCGAAGGGGGGACGGAGAAGGCUAUGUCAGCCGGGCGACGGUUGUCCCGGUUUAAGCAUGUAGGCGGAGGGUCCAGGUAAAUCCGGUACCUUAUUAACGCUGAGGUGUGAUGACGAGGCACUACGGUGCUGAAGUGAUAAAUGCCCUGUUUCCAGGAAAAGCCUCUAAGCAUCAGAGGUGUGAUGACGAGGCACUACGGUGCUGAAGUGAUAAAUGCCCUGCUUCCAGGAAAAGCCUCUAAGCAUCAGGUAACACGAAAUCGUACCCCAAACCGCCACAGGUGGUCAGGUAGAGAAUACCAAGGCGCUUGAGAGAACUCGGGUGAAGGAACUAGGCAAAAUGGUGCCGUAACUGCGGGAGAAGGCACGCUGAUGUGUAGGUGAAGCCCCUGUAGGUGAAGCCCCUGCGGGCGGAGCUGAAAUCAGUCGAAGAUACCAGCUGGCUGCAACUGUUUAUUAAAAACACAGCACUGUGCAAACACGAAAGUGGACGUAUACGGUGUGACGCCUGCCCGGUGCCGGAAGGUUAAUUGAUGGGGUUAGCGGCAACGCGAAGCUCUUGAUCGAAGCCCCGGUAAACGGCGGCCGUAACUAUAACGGUCCUAAGGUAGCGAAAUUCCUUGUCGGGUAAGUUCCGACCUGCACGAAUGGCGUAAUGAUGGCCAGGCUGUCUCCACCCGAGACUCAGUGAAAUUGAACUCGCUGUGAAGAUGCAGUGUACCCGCGGCAAGACGGAAAGACCCCGUGAACCUUUACUAUAGCUUGACACUGAACACUGGUCCUUGAUGUGUAGGAUAGGUGGGAGGCUUUGAAGCGUGGACGCCAGUCUGCGUGGAGCCNNNNNNNNNNNNNNNNNNNNNNNNNNNNNNNNNNNNNNNNNNNNNNNNNNNNNNNNNNNNNNNNNNNNNNNNNNNNNNNNNNNNNNNNNNNNNNNNNNNNNNNNNNNNNNNNNNNNNGAGCGUGACGGCGCGAGCAGGUGCGAAAGCAGGUCAUAGUGAUCCGGUGGUUCUGAAUGGAAGGGCCAUCGCUCAACGGAUAAAAGGUACUCCGGGGAUAACAGGCUGAUACCGCCCAAGAGUUCAUAUCGACGGCGGUGUUUGGCACCUCGAUGUCGGCUCAUCACAUCCUGGGGCUGAAGUAGGUCCCAAGGGUAUGGCUGUUCGCCAUUUAAAGUGGUACGCGAGCUGGGUUUAGAACGUCGUGAGACAGUUCGGUCCCUAUCUGCCGUGGGCGCUGGAGAAUUGAGGGGGGCUGCUCCUAGUACGAGAGGACCGGAGUGGACGCAUCACUGGUGUUCGGGUUGUCAUGCCAAUGGCACUGCCCGGUAGCUAAAUGCGAGUGCUGAAAGCAUCUAAGCACGAAACUUGCCCCGAGAUGAGUUCUCCCUGAGACUUUAAGUCUCCUGAAGGAACGUUGAAGACGACGACGUUGAUAGGCCGGGUGUGUAAGCGCAGCGAUGCGUUGAGCUAACCGGUACUAAUGAACCGUGAGGCUUAACCUU